rnacentral:rRNA from 1 species
UACGUAGGGACCAAGCGUUGUUCGGAUUUACUGGGCGUAAAGGGCGCGUAGGCGGCGUGACAAGUCACUUGUGAAAUCUCUGGGCUUAACCCAGAACGGCCAAGUGAAACUGUUGUGCUAGAGUGCAGAAGGGGCAAUCGGAAUUCUCGGUGUAGCGGUGAAAUGCGUAGAUAUCGGGAGGAACACCUGUGGCGAAGGCAGCUCGCUGGGACGGUACUGACGCUGAGGCGCGAAAGCGUGGGGAGCAAACAGG